AAGAAGGAGGAAAGCAAUCUUCCACACGCGUUUGAUCUUGUGUCAAAGCUGUGUGAAACUGGAGGGAGAAACUUGAGAGACCGUGCCGGAAGAAUGCUGGACAGAGUUCACUAAGAUUCAUUAAUUUCAAAGUUCAACAUGAAUGGUGGUGGUCCACUGCAGAAGCAAGCAUUUGAAAAAACAUCAGUUCUCAGUUAUUAAAGAUGCUGUGUUGAACAACUUUCCAGCAGCAACAGAACUGGAAGUGAAGGAUGCCAAUGGGGGCAUUUCAAACAGGCACCAGGGAGGACGUGGUGUAUAGAAAUUAGUACAAUUAAUAAGUUGAAGUGAACUGAAGAUAGUUUGUUAAUGUUUAGAUGUUAUUUCAUUUUUAAAAUUGUAUUUUGUUAUUUAUUCCUUUAUUUUGUUACUGUUUUAUUCUUUUUGUUAAAAGUAGUUUUUCUUAUCAUUUUGUCUUAUCUGAAUUUCUAUUGUAUUAACAAUAUUUUUUGUAAUAAAUUGCAUGAUUGUAUGUUUAUGAGAACCUGUUUUAAUGGAUUAAAAAGAAUUCUUUAGCCA